rnacentral:rRNA from 1 species
AGGGAUCAUUACAGAGUUCGCGCCCUCGCGGGUAGAUCUCCCACCCUGUGUUAUCGUCCCUACGUUGCUUUGGCGGGCCGCUGGGCUCGACCCGGCCGCCGGCUCCGGCUGGCGCGCGCCCGCCAGAGGCCCCCUAACUCUUGAUGUGAGUGGUGUCCGAGUACUAUACAAUAGUUAAAACUUUCAACAACGGAUCUCUUGGUUCUGGCAUCGAUGAAGAACGCAGCGAAAUGCGAUAAGUAAUGCGAAUUGCAGAAUUCAGUGAGUCAUCGAAUCUUUGAACGCACAUUGCGCCCUGUGGUAUUCCGCAGGGCAUGCCUGUUCGAGCGUCAUUUCAACCCUCAAGCUCUGCUUGGUGUUGGGCCCUGCCCGUUGCGGCCGGCCCUAAAGUCAGUGGCGGCACCGUCCGGCUCUAAGCGUAGUAAUGCUCUCGCUCUAGGGUCCCGCGGUAGCUUGCCAGAACCCCCAACUCCUAUGGUUGACCUCGGAUCAGGUAGGGAUACCCGCUGAACUUAA